UCCCCCUUAGCUCAGUGGUAGAGCGCUUCACUAGUACCUGGCGAUGAAGAGGUCAGUCGUUCAAGUCGGCUAGGGGGAA